rnacentral:lncRNA from 1 species
CUCAAUUGGUAGGUGGUGCAACAGAAAGAAUGAACAGAUGACUCGUAUGGUUUUCCAGUGAAGUAUCGGUGUGGAUGAAGUGUGGGAUAAGGCAAACUUCAGCUCCAGCCUACACAUCAUUCGAAAGUUGGCAAAAAAUUUGUGAGUAACAAACAACGCUUUGGAUUGUCCCCAAAUCCAACCAUUUUGAGACCAGAAAAGGCUAUCAUUACUGGUGUAAUCUGG